rnacentral:misc_RNA from 1 species
GUAGGUGAACCUGCGGAAGGAUCAUUAAAAAUGAAGCCGGGAAACCGGUCCUUCUAACCCUUGAUUAUCUUAAUUUGUUGCUUUGGUGGGCCGCGCAAGCACUGGCUUCGGCUGGUUAGUGCCCGCCAGAGGACCCAAACUCUAAUGUUUCUUAUUGUAACUUCUGAGUAAAACAAACAAAUAAAUCAAAACUUUCAACAACGGAUCUCUUGGUUCUG